AAGCUUCACCCAUAAAAGCUUCACCAACAAAAGCUUCACCCACAAAAGCUUCACCUACUACAAAAGCUUCACUUACAAAAGCUUCACCCACCACAAAAGGUUCACCUACAAAAGCUUCACCCACAAAAGCUUCAACACAAAAGCUUCACCUACAAAAGCUUCACCUACAAAAGCUUCACACUAUCUUGAUCAAGAUAGUGUGAAGCAAAAUCAAUUCAUGGUACCCAAUAAAGACUCAACCUUAAAGCUUCACCUACAAAGCUUCAACACCAAAACUUCACCUACAAAGCUUAAAUAUAUAUAU
rnacentral:lncRNA from 1 species